rnacentral:rRNA from 1 species
AUGGAUAAAACUGAGGAUGAUUGUAGUAUGGAGUUUCUUGAGGAGAAGGGAUUUUUCAUCAGCUUUGAAGAAGAUGGAACACUCGAUUGGUUUUUCUACCCUGCUUACUGCGAAUGUGCUUCCCUGAGUGACUAUCAACGCCUAGUCCUAAAAAAUUAUGGUGGUACCGAGUACAACAUGUGGAGUGACUACCAUAGCUACCUUCAUAGCUAUGAUAUUGAACGGGAGUAUCUCAAGUACUGCAAGGAAUUAUCCAAGCGACUGAAGUGGAUGGAAGAUUACGUCGAUACUUGCCGCUCAUCCGUCAAAUGGGGUAAAAUAUCUUCCCGAGGAGCAUUUCAAGCAAUUAAGAUUGCUGCUACUAGCUUUCCCAAGAUCACUCCUACUUUAGCUUACAAUGGCUUUGAUAGUUUCAGAAAGGCUAUGGAGGACGUUUGUAAGAUGAACAAGUUUCCGGUACGACAAGGUUUAAUGCAAACUGCGCUGGACCAUGAGUACACCAUGACGUUGAUGGAAGAGGACUUCCAUACCUGCACGGCAGCCAUUCGCCCUGCAGUUAAAGAGGAUAAAGCUAAGGAGUUGAUUGCAGACGGAGUUAAAAAGCUGGUUAAUAUGCCCAAGUCCUAUGAGGAUUAUAUCAGAAAAAAGAUAGAGAUCGCACGCAUUAUUGGAAUCCUUCCUUCCGAGAAGACUGUGGCAACAGUAUAA